UGUUUCUGUAAAGUGCGCGUGUACCCCCACCUCUGGGUCCUGUCCUGCGUCUCACCCCAAUUCCCUCCCCCUCUGGCAAACACCGCGCUGUGCCGGCGAGAAACUGGGCGCUCGAGAGGUCCGUCUGGAUCUGACGAUGGCGAUCCCUGGGGCGACGACGACGGCGUUGGCCUCUGGGUGAGUAAAUUUCUGCUUCUAUCAUUGUAUUCCCGUUGGCUCCACGGCUCACGAGCUUCUAUGGCGCGCUGGUACUGCAUAUCGACGAGGGCGACAACCGUUUCAGCGGCGCGCGAGGUGGCGUACGACUUGGACGCCGCCGGCCAGGCGGGCGGCUCUGUCGUAGCCGUGGGCUCGCCGGAGAUGCAGCCGUUGGGCCAGGGCCCGGCGUCGCGGGGCCAGCUUUGCGAUUUGCCUGGCGUCUCGUCCUCGGGCGCGUCCUGCAUACGUUAAGUUCCGGUGGCGGAGGCGUGGCGGAGGCAGGCUCCGGCGACGGCGCGCGCACCGUCGAGUUGCACAGUCCUGUCCAGUCCUACAGCCUGGGCGACGCCGAUCCGGGCGGCUUUUCGGGCGUAGGUGUGGGCUCGCCGGAGAUGCAGCCGUUGGAUCGGGGGCCGACGCUACGGGGCAGGGUUGCCUAGUGCCUGAUGUGGCGUCGGCAGGCUCCAGCGACGGGGCGCGCACUGUCGACUCGUGCAGCGCGGUUCAGUCCUACCGCCCCGGUGUCCCGACUGCGACAAACACCACCAUCCGCGUUGGGUGGAAACGCAGGCCAAGAGAGCCACGCAGCUGAGAUGAGAGGGCAGGAGUAGUUGAUCGUGUGCCGGCGCUCGAAGCUGCUAUCCGAGGAUUUGCUGAUAGGGGGACCGAGGUGGUUGUCAACCCAGCGCUUGGUACAGUCAUCGAUUCGCUUGCAGAGGCGGACGAAUUCUACAAUCUGUAUUCAUGGGAGGUUGGCUUCGGGAUUCGUUACGGCAAGAGCAGGCAGAAUGUCAAUGGGACCAAGUGCAUGCAGGAGAUGGUGUGUGGGUGUGCUGUAAGUUUCUGUAUUUUGUUUUUCCCCGGACUGAAUGAUUAACAGAAACUGUAAAACGAGCUGAUCGAAACUGUAGCACUCUGAAUAAAGACCGGGAAAAACAAUAGAGAUCUGAAUCAACCUUGGCCAAAAA